rnacentral:rRNA from 1 species
UACGUAGGGGGCUAGCGUUGUCCGGAAUCAUUGGACGUAAAGCGCGCGUAGGCGGCCCGGUAAGUCCGUUGUAAAAGUCAAAGGCUCAACCUUUGAAAGCCGAUGGAUACUGCCGGGCUCGAGUCCGGAAGAGGCGAGUAGAAUUCCUGGUGUAGCGGUGGAAUGCGCAGAUAUCAGGAGGAAUACCCAUAGCGAAGGCAGCUCGCUGGGACGGUACUGACGCUAAGGCGCGAAAGCGUGGGGAGCGAACAGG